rnacentral:ncRNA from 1 species
GAAAGCUCGGAAACUAGAUAAACUAACUUUUGUGCUCACACAUGGCGUUAGUUCCCUAAAUUUCAGUCGCUUUC